UAGGGAAUCUUCCACAAUGGGCGAAAGCCUGAUGGAGCAACGCCGCGUGUGUGAUGAAGGCUUUCGGGUCGUAAAGCACUGUUGUAUGGGAAGAACAGCUAGAAUAGGAAAUGAUUUUAGUUUGACGGUACCAUACCAGAAAGGGACGGCUAACUACGUGCUAG
rnacentral:rRNA from 1 species